rnacentral:snRNA from 1 species
GUACUCGCUUUGGCAGCACAUAUACUAAAAUUGGAACAAUACAGAGAAGAUUAGCAAGGCCCCUGCGCAAGGAUGACAUGCAAAUUCGUGAAGCAUUCCAUAUUUUA